GGCAAUUUAGCUUAAUGGUAGAGUAUUCAGCCGGAAAAUGAGGGUACGGGUUCGAAUCCCGUGCCU
rnacentral:tRNA from 1 species